UACGUAGGGUGCAAGCGUUGUCCGGAAUUAUUGGGCGUAAAGAGCUCGUAGGCGGCUCGUCGCGUCGGCUGUGAAAGCCCGGGGCUUAACCCCGGGUCUGCAUUCGAUACGGGCUAGCUAGAGUGUGGUAGGGGAGAUCGGAAUUCCUGGUGUAGCGGUGAAAUGCGCAGAUAUCAGGAGGAACACCGGUGGCGAAGGCGGAUCUCUGGGCAUUACCUGACGCUGAGGAGCGAAAGUGUGGGGAGCGAACAGG
rnacentral:rRNA from 1 species